AUUGCAGAUUACUUCCAAUGAAAAUUUCAAUAACUUCCUGAGAUCUUAUUUUUUGACAAGAUAAUCAUUUAUUUAUGAUAACCUCAUCUGCCGCCACCGUGCAGUAAUUUUAUUCAAAUGACAGUGCACUUGUUUAGAAGUUACCAUGGAAACUCCCUACAGAAGUCGUCAUUGGAAUUACAAUUUUUGAAAUUAUAAUUGACUUCAAUGACCAUGCUCUUACUUUAAUUGGUGAAUACCCAAGUUCCGCAGUCAUUCUGACAUAAAAUUGAUCCAUUGAAAAGCAUGGCAAGCACUUUAAUUCACCUUGAAAAAAAAUCCAUUAAAGACAAUGGAAGCUUUUGAUAUGACAGCAUCUGUGAAUCACAUGGGUGGUUGCCUUGGCAGGAUGUAAACAGUUUGUAACCUCACUUUUGAUUGGCUGAAUGUGACUGAUGCUGCUGCUGAUGAGAAUACCUGUAUUUUCACCUGAAGACAUUCACCUAACCAACAGAUAGAGUGUCCUUGAUCAUCUCAAUACUAAUACAGAUCACAGGCAGCUAUUGAUGGAGAAAGAACUUCUGACAACUUUUUACAGUUUUCUGGGAAAGUUUUACAACAAAAAUGGCUGUCUCCAAGUUACCAACUCAUCACCUAGAGAACUGUAUGCUGGGAUAGCUCAUCACUUA